rnacentral:rRNA from 1 species
GAUGAACGCUCGCGGCGUGCCUAAUACAUGCAAGUCGAGCGAACAGACGAGGAGCUUGCUCCUCUGAUGUUAGCGGCGGACGGGUGAGUAACACGUGGAUAACCUACCUAUAAGACUGGGAUAACUUCGGGAAACCGUAGCUAAUACCGGAUAACAUGUUGAACCGCAUGGUUCAACAGUGAAAGACGGUCUUGCUGUCACUUAUAGAUGGAUCCGCGCCGCAUUAGCUAGUUGGUAAGGUAACGGCUUACCAAGGCAACGAUGCAUAGCCGACCUGAGAGGGUGAACGGCCACACUGGAACUGAGACACGGUCCAGACUGCUACGGGAGGCAGCAGUAGGGAAUCUGCCGGAAUGAACGAGAGCGUGACGGAGCAACGCCGCGUGAGUGAAGAAGGUCUUCGGAUCGUAAAACUCUGUUAUGAGGGAAGAACAAAUGUGUAAGUAAAUAUGCACGUCUUGACAGUACCUAAUCAGAAAGCCACGGCUAACUACGUG